GACAACAGCUUCAGCCACAUGUUGACAGACCACUGUCUGCACAAACACUGCCUUCGCGAUUUCCAGAAGCAAAGCGAGGAUAAAACUAGCCAAGCACUAACUAGACUCCAGAGCUAUGCCGGCGAUACUGAAAUCCAGCAGGUCCAUUGAAUCCCACUGCCGUCGACGAGGAAUCCCAGAGAACGAAGUACCCUUGUGUUCCACAGGACUGGAGGAAACAAAACCUGAAGGUCUGGCCACCCGAGCUCCUUGCUGUGGUUAUUGGUGCUGACGAACAUUUGGUAAUCAUGGCCAGGUUUUGAAAGAAC